rnacentral:piRNA from 1 species
UUGGAAGAAGAUAUGGCCAUAGGUUGGGAC